AUAUAAUUCAAGAAUUGCAGCUCCAAAAUGCUGAAUGCAGCAAGGAUGAAUUUAUUUAAGGACUGCAGCGAGCAUCAAAGAAAUUUCAAAACAAAGAAAGCUAUUUAGAUAUAUCUUGAUUAAGAAAUUUGUUUCAGCUUGAUGUUGCAUUUUUGCUAUCUGGAGUUACUAGAAUAUCUUCUCUUGUUGUAGUACUUCAAGGUUGGAAAGUAAAGACCAAGAGUUAGAAGCAACUACUUUAGCAUAUUCCACUCCAUGUCACCUUGACUAGUGACAUGAAACCUUCCCCAAAAGAUUCUAGAGAACAAUAGGAAGACAAAACAGAGCACAACAUUGGUUUCCAAAUGUGGAGCCAAUUUUCUUAAGAACAAAAAUAUAGUGACAAUAAAGCAUAGAUUUGGACCAAGUUUAAUAAGUUCAUGCAAAAUAACUUGCACUCUCCGUGAAAACUAAAUUUGUCAACUAAAGAGCAAAUAGAUUCAAACAAGAUUCUUGUGUUCCAUAGUAAUUUUCAGGUCCAGGCAUGUUGUUUACCUUGCCUUGCCAGUCCAUAUCCGGUAUCCAUGCCUACCUCUAAAGGAAAUAUCCUUCAUAUUCAAAACUGGGAAUCCAGAUAGAAUCCUAGACAACCCCAACCAUCUAAGUUUUUUUUUUUUUUUAUUCAUAUUCAAAGCAGGCCAUCAACUUACAUACCAGUGAGAAGAGAGCCAAGGAAUCUGCGUCUCAUUAGGUUAUAUUAUUUUUUAUUAUUUUUAUGUUUGGAUGAGCAAAACAGAAAUACGUAAAACAAGAAAGGAAGUAAAACAGAUCAAGGACAACAAGUCCACCUAUAAACAAGUAGGGAAAAAAGCACAACAUAACAAAUCAUAUAUUGCUCUCCAAUCCGGUACUCAAAAAAAUAAGUCGCAAUAUCCACACCUCAAAACUCAAGCAUUCUCUCCAGCCAAAUAAAUAAACAUGGGCACUUGAACUAAUUUGGCUGGUGUACUGUAUAGACUACCCCAAAAAUGGGCAUCACACUUCCUUCUAAGUUGCAUUCUCUAACUAAACUUCAACCAGUACAAACUCAAUCAAUUUAGCUAGUCGCACAACAGAUCUUUCGGUCAUAGUGGUUUCUGUAGAUUUUUCGUCUUUAUAUUUUUCAUUUUCCUUCUGUUGUCCAGACAAGUUUGCGGGCAUUUUUGUUACUAGCCCAGCAUUUUCAAGAAAAUGCACGACUUUUAUAGAGGUGUAUUUUUGUUCAUCCAACAUGUGAGAUUUAAUUCACUUUCUAAAUACAGAUAAUAUGUACUAUACAUUUUCUAUAUAAAAAUGGAGAACAUUCCCUGCAGAAAGGAGAAAAUGACCUACAACCUGCCACGCAGGUUUUCAUAUGCAGUAAACAUUCAACACAUGCACAUUGUAAUUCCUUUAACGUGAUAUUAAUUAUAUGGAGAAGAAGGACGAGUACUCAUACCUUUAGCAAUUGGACCCCCUCUUGAAAAGUAAGCCAUAAGGUCUUUCUCGAGUACUGUACAGCCAAUCAAUCGCAAUAGUCAGCACAAACAAGUGUAUAGCUAUGAAGAAUGGAUUUACAAGAUACAAAUACGAUACAACACGGAUACAGCUGUAACAGAAACUCUGAAAAACUAGGAUAUGGGUAUAGCCAAAAUACGUUAGACUACGAAGUAUCAUUACAAUAUUUUACCAUUGCAGUACGUAUAAUGCAAGUAUGGUGAGAACCGUUUUGUGCUCUUCGUGUGCAAAAGUGUUGUACACAAGUUUACACGGUUACUUGUUGAAAUCCAAUUUUAUGAACACAUGUAUGCCACAAUAAAUGUAUUAAAAACAAUUAAAAAUAUUGAUACAAUUUUCAUCAUAAUAAAUCUUCCUCUCUCUAAAAAGUAAAGUAUUAGACAUUAACAUUAUCUGAAUCCCUAUUUCCUAACAAUUUACUCAACUACUGUGCAAGAAGUGCCACAAUCUUAAUUUCAUAAAGUUCAAAUACAUGACCAAGACUAACCAAAAGGGAUCCGAUAUUUCAAUAAUCAAAAAAUUAAUUCAUACACAGUCGAUGCUUAUGAAAUAUGCAUCCGUGAUUAUGGGAGGAGAAUCAGCAUGCAAUAAGGAUACAACUCCCAUAUAGAAGUUAUUUGUGCAAAAUAGGAGUAUACCCACUUGAUAGGAAUAUUAAAAUCGUUUAUAUUAACUUUCAUAUAAUAACAUCAGAAUCUACAUCACAUUGAUAAUGGUUCACAGAAAUUUAAAGGCUCAAAUGGAUAUUGUUUUCCAAUGGCUUCAAGCUCUUUCUGGCAUCUUUCAUUCAAACUGUCAAACAAUUCAACAAACAAGCGGUCCACACUGUCCAUAACCUGCAUGAAAAAGCUAGGCAUCUUAACAUCACACAGGUUAUAACCUUUGUUAAUUGGGGAUCCUUACACUCAUAAGCCACCAACUCAAUUACCUCAGAAUAGUGCUCCUUGAUCUCCAUCUCAACAUCAAGACCUGUAAACUCGCACAAGUGUCUGUGGGUAAAGGAAUCCUCUGCUCUGAAAACAGGACCUACCUCAAAAACACAGCCAAAAUCACC